UUAGUGGAGACUUAAGCUAUUGAACUGUUCUGUCACUCUUUGACAGAGAACAAUUUGUUCUUUGACAGAGAGGGACAAAACAGUUGAAUAGCUAAAGCGUCCAUUAAC
rnacentral:pre_miRNA from 1 species